rnacentral:rRNA from 1 species
UACGGAGGGGGCAAGCGUUAUUCGGAAUUACUGGGCGUAAAGCGUGCGCAGGCGGUUCGUUAAGUCAGAUGUGAAAGCCCCGGGCUCAACCUGGGAACUGCAUUUGAAACUGGCGGGCUUGAGUGUGGCAGAGGGGGGUGGAAUUCCGCGUGUAGCAGUGAAAUGCGUAGAGAUGCGGAGGAACACCGAUGGCGAAGGCAGCCCCCUGGGCCAACACUGACGCUCAGGCACGAAAGCGUGGGGAGCAAACAGG